UUGGUUUGUUUCCGGUGGUUGGCUCUCUGCUAUUGCAACAACUUCCACCUGGCAUUCCUCUUCGGUUUUUCGUCAAGGUUGCAUUUCCUUGAGCGCUAUGGGUUUCCUGUGCUGCCUGCCUACGUGAUGGUAUUGGUUGAUUAAAUCAAAGUCGCGUUUCAUCAUGCGUCAUUCGUAUGGCGUAGGAUGAACCUAUAGAAAAUUCGAUGAUCCACCUUGUUGAUGCACAUGCAUCGAUGUUGUGGCUCAUAGUUUUGCUUGGUUUUCAAGAUACAGAACAUGAUAUGGGUUUGGGUCUCUCCGAUCCUUUUUUGCCCUCGUUGAACGUUGUUAUUACUUUGAGAUGACUGCCUAUCCCGAAUUGGCUCGUACCCAUCGGGGUAGCUUACGUUGUUCAAGAGAAUACUAGCGUUCUUGCUUCUCUAAAAUAGACGGCCUCUCCUGUGUUGGCUUGUACCAGCGGGUGGGCUAUGUCGAAAAGGGAUGCUACCUGGUUGAUCCUGCCAGUAGUCAUAUGCUUGUCUCAA
rnacentral:misc_RNA from 1 species